rnacentral:rRNA from 1 species
GACGAACGCUGGCGGCGUGCCUAAUACAUGCAAGUAGGACGCAGUUGCGAACGGGUGAGUAACGCGUAGGUAACUGCCUAUUAGAGGGGGAUAACUAUUGGAAACGAUAGCUAAUACCGCAUACUAGUAGAUGGACCUGCGUUGUAUUAGCUAGUCGGUAGGGUAAUGGCCUACCUAGGCAAACAUUCAUAGCCGACCUGGGAGGGUGAGCGGCCACACUGGGACUUAGAACCGGCCCAGACUCCUACGGGAGGCAGCAGUAGGGAAUCUUCGGCAAUUGGGGGAACCCUGACCGAGCAACGCCGCGUGAGUGAAGAAGGUUUUCGGAUCGUAAAGCUCUGUUGUUAAGGAAGCGUUACUUAACCAGAAAGGGACGGCUAACUACGUGCCAGCAGCCGCGGUAAUAC